ensembl:lncRNA
CAAGAUCAACACAAAUGGCAUACCCUUUUUUUCAGCAACCAGAUACCCCAGUGUAAUCAGUCAUCCAAGGAUAUCAUAAAAACACAGCUCAUUGAUUAUGUUUUCAUAUGGGUUGUUGAGGGGAAAUCCAACUGGCUCCUCUUUAUGUCAUUUUAAUGCCACUCAGCAACAUUCUCAAGUCCUCUGAAAACACCAGAUCAUAGGUAUAGAUAUCAUAGGUAUAGAUAGCACAGCUACUGCCGUUCUGGGACAGCAUGUCCCAAGUCAUUCGAAGACUGGUCAUACCUGAAGAAUUGACCAUUUCCAAGAGGUAAUCCCACUACAGUUUGUCACUACUACACAGGUAGAACAACUGUUCUCCAGUCUCUUCAAAAGCCUUGUAAACAGUAGGGCAUCUGACUACUAUGUCCAUGUUGAGUACUGCCAUCAUGUCCAUAAGAGUAUAGCAGUCCUCUCAGUAGGCUCAUUCAAUGAGAAUUAAAACAGUAGUUAGUAGGGAAUUUAUCUUAAAACAACUCAUUUAAUUUACCUGCUUAAAUAAAAGUACAAUCAUUAGCUAGAUAAAAUCCCAAAGCAGUCAAACCAUUCAGAUUUCCCAAAGAUGUAUCAUCCUUUCUGUUUAGACAAUGUUUAAAGCGCUGAUAUGUUACAUUUCAUUUUUAAAACAAAAAACAGCAGAAACGCAUGAGUGAAUGACCCCUGUGUUUUUAGUGAACACUGCAACAAGUAUGCCUUGAGGUAGUGUCACGUUCGUUCCCUCUCUCAGCAUGAUGUCACUGGGGUUCCAUUUUCUACCUCACCAACCCCAGGCAGUUGUAGUGUAAGGAAUCUUUAGGUCAGAAGACUAGAGGAAAUUGCAUUUAAAACACUGCAAUAUUUAAAAGAAAAGUGAUAAUUAAUACAAAGCAAAAAAAUAUUUAAAAAUGUUAUCAAACAGAAAAUUGCAAUUUUCAUGUUUUCCAUAAUGUCACUGAACUGUUUUGAAAUAGUGUUUAUGGUGGAAAUUCCCAAUUCUUUAUUACCAAGUGUAAUUUUGGACUUUACAAAACUGUAUGAGAUGACCAAUGACAUCAAAAGAUAACUUAUACAGAACUGACAAUGUCUGAAAUGUUUAGUCUGGCAUAAGAUUUUCACAGUAGCUCUGAAGUUUGUAUGUGAAUUUACUUUUGAUAAGAUGUCUUGAAUUAAAAAUGUUAGGCUUUAUCAUCUCCCACUAGUAUCAGCCUUGCAGUGGAACAAACUGUCUCCCUUUGUCAACACAAACUCCUCUCUCAAUCACAAAGUGCCUCCACAAACUGCUUGCUAUUUAUACAGAUAGAGGUUAUCACAAGAGCAGUUCAAGUAAUUACUCUUAAAAAGCUUUAAAAAAAAAAAAUCACACCUUGAGUGUAAAACCUAGAAAAUGUAUCUAGCAAUGUGUGCAAAUCAUGUCAACAGCACUCUUCUCUCCUUCUUUGGUCCCUCUGGGCCACAUUUCAAUCGGACCCUUUAAGAGGUCAAAGGUCAGGGUUGACCUCACUACCAAAUAUUUUUAUAACUAACCCAAGAUAGACCAGAGCCUGUCUUUUCCAAUGGGAGCAAAUUAAUCAUACUGGGCAGAACAAACAAGGAGGUGGGCAGAGCCAAGCACGAGCUAGUGAGAUCUUAUUAGCGCUUUAUAGAAUUUAUUUUAAUAUUUCCGUUAGGGAACGCCUACUAUGAAGUGCGUGUGCAAUAACAAUUCGCCUUUGCACUCCAAAACAACGGCAUCUUCAAAACUUUGGCAAAGGGUAAAGUCUACAAAGUGUAGUCCACUCGGUUUGUUACCGAUUCUAGUUAUGGAAGCAGAAAACUGUAUGGACAUCAAAUGUUUAAUCAAUGAGAAAAGUAGCAGAAUGUUGGCCAAAAUCCAUCUCACUCCAUCUUCUCCCGCUGACGACCACUUGGCUUUCUCUCAUAACCAUAUUUGGUAGUGAGUGGAAACACCAACCAGAUGCUUCACAUUUAUACAUCCGGUGAAAUAUCUGUCUCAUUGUUCUGUGUUACUACACUCUAAUAGGAUGAGGGUGCAGGUUGGCCACAAGUAGAUAAUUAUUCUUCUGGUUUAGAAGCCCACAAAUACAGAAUGUUUUUUUUUAAAUUACAAAAAUAUUAUCAUGAAAUGGCAUGGGGGUGAAGAAAAAAAACAUUUCAAAUUAGCAUUACCCAAAAACACUAUCAAAUAUUUCUGCUACAAAAAAAAGUGAGGUUGGUGGAAGAGCCGGAGGGAGGGAGAUAAAGAGAAUAUUUUACCUCCAUACUGCCUUCCAACCAGUAAUGGAGGAUUCACGGAUCAGGAAGUGGAGUCUAUCAGUCAGUGCAAGGUGGUAGAUGUGGAGGCAACGUGGGGGGAUGAAGGACUAUCUGAGGGGAAGAAAAGGGUGGUGGAGUGGAGAACUAUCAGAGGGGAAGAAGAGGGUGCGGAGAACUAUCGGAGGGGAAGAAAAGGGUGGUGGAGCGGAGAACUAUUGGAGGAGAAGAAAAGGGUGGUAGAGCGGAGAA